AGAUUGAACGCUGGCGGCAGGCCUAACACAUGCAAGUCGAGCGGUAGAGAGGUGCUUGCAUCUCUUGAGAGCGGCGGACGGGUGAGUAAUGCCUAGGAAUCUGCCUAGUGGUGGGGGAUAACGUUCGGAAACGGACGCUAAUACCGCAUACGUCCUACGGGAGAAAGCGGGGGACCUUCGGGCCUCGCGCCAUUAGAUGAGCCUAGGUCGGAUUAGCUAGUUGGUGAGGUAAUGGCUCACCAAGGCGACGAUCCGUAACUGGUCUGA
rnacentral:rRNA from 1 species